GGGAAACCAGAGCUAAUACCCCGGAUGUUUAAGGGAUUAGAGGCCUUAAACUAAAGUUGCAAAACGCUGCGGGAGGGGCCUGCGGGCUAUCAGCUAGUUGGUGAGGUAAAGGCUCACCAAGGCGAAGACGGCUAGGGGGCGUGAGAGCGUGACCCCCCACAAGGGAACUGAGAAACGGUCCCUACUCCUACGGGAGGCAGCAGUGAGGAAUAUUGAGCAAUGGGCGCAAGCCUGACUCAGCAACGCCGCGUGGAUGAUGACGGCCUUCGGGUUGUAAAAUCCUUUUCUGAGGGAAGAUAAUGACGGUACCUCAGGAAUAAGUUCCGGCUAACUACGUGCCAGCAGCCGCGGUAAAACGUAGGGGACAAGCGUUAUCCGGAUUUACUGGGCGUAAAGCGCAUGUAGGUGGCCUUUCAAGUUGGACGUGAAAGCUCCCGGCUUAACUGGGAGAGGUCGUUCAAAACUGGGGGGGCUAGAGGUUGGAAGAGGAGAGCAGAAUUCCCGGUGUAGUGGUGGAAUGCGUAGAUAUCGGGAGGAAUACCAGUGGCGAAAGCGGCUCUCUGGUUCAAUACUGACACUGAGAUGCGAAAGCGUGGGGAGCGAACGGGAUUAGAUACCCCGGUAGUCCACGCUGUAAACGAUGGAGACUAGGUGUAGGGGGCAUUAACCCCCUCUGUGCCGAAGCCAACGCGUUAAGUCUCCCGCCUGGGGAGUACGGCCGCAAGGUUAAAACUCAAAGGAAUUGACGGGGGCCCGCACAAGCAGCGGAGCGUGUGGUUUAAUUCGAUGAUACGCGAAGAACCUUACCUGGGUUUGACAUCAAAGGUAGUAGCAAGGUGAAAGCUAAAGCGACCCUUCCGGGGAGCCUUGACAGGGUGCUGCAUGGGCUGUCGUCA
rnacentral:rRNA from 1 species